GCCUCAGUACUAGACAGAACCCUAGAAGGAGGAGGCAUCAGAGGUUGAUCAUUUGGAGCUUCAUUACGCGGUACAGCCCCAGAAGACGAAGGCAAUAAAUGCCUUUGGAACAAACCCACAAAUCUCUGAUGAUCAAGUAAAACCUGACCAUCAGUUUCCUUCAUCUGGUCAAGCUUCCUCUUCAUGUUUGUAGCAUAGUCAUGUGCGAGCAGG
rnacentral:lncRNA from 1 species